CCUACGGGAGGCAGCAGUGAGGAAUAUUGGUCAAUGGACGAGAGUCUGAACCAGCCAAGUCGCGUGAAGGAUGACUGCCCUAUGGGUUGUAAACUUCUUUUAUAAAGGAAUAAAACGAGGCACGUGUGCCUUUUUGCAUGUACUUUAUGAAUAAGGAACGGCUAACUCCGUGCCAGCAGCCGCGGUAAUACGGAGGCUCCGAGCGUUAUCCGGAUUUAUUGGGGUUAAAGGGAGCGUAGAUGGGUUGUUAAGUCAGUUGUGAAAGUUUGCGGCUCAACCGUAAAAUUGCAAUUGAUACUGGCAGUCUUGAGUAGAGUAGAGGUAGGCGGAAUUCGUGGUGUAGCGGUGAAAUGCGUAGAUAUCACGAAGAACCCCGAUUGCGAAGGCAGCUUACUAGACUGUAACUGACAUUGAUGCGCGAAAGUGUGGGUAGCAAACAGGAUUAGAUACCCUUGUAGUC
rnacentral:rRNA from 1 species